UACGGAGGGUGCAAGCGUUAUCCGGAUUCACUGGGCUUAAAGGGUGCGUAGGCGGGUUGGUAAGUCCGGGGUGAAAUCCCCAAGCUUAACUUGGGAACUGCCGUGGAUACUAUCAAUCUUGAAUAUCGUGGAGGUAAGCGGAAUAUGUCAUGUAGCGGUGAAAUGCUUAGAUAUGACAUAGAACACCAAUUGCGUAGGCAGCUUACUAGACGAUCAUUGACGCUGAGGCACGAAAGCGUGGGGAGCAAACAGG
rnacentral:rRNA from 1 species